rnacentral:rRNA from 1 species
GGUAGUGUAGUUAAUAGCUGCAUUAUUUGACGUUAGCGACAGAAGAAGCACCGGCUAACUCCGUGCCAGCAGCCGCGGUAAUACGGAGGGUGCGAGCGUUAAUCGGAAUUACUGGGGCGUAAAGCGCAUGCAGGUGGUUUGUUAAGUCAGAUGUGAAAGCCCGGGGCUCAACCUCGGAAUAGCAUUUGAAACUGGCAGACUAGAGUACUGUAGAGGGGGGUAGGAAUUUCAGGUGUAGCGGUGAAAUGCGUAGAGAUCUGAAGGAAUACCGGUGGCGAAGGCGGCCCCCUGGACAGAUACUGACACUCAGAUGCGAAAGCGUGGGGAGCAAACAGGAUUAGAUACCCUGGUAG